rnacentral:rRNA from 1 species
CCUACGGGUGGCAGCAGUGGGGAAUAUUGCGCAAUGGGCGAAAGCCUGACGCAGCGACGCCGCGUGAGGGAUGAAGGUCCUCGGAUCGUAAACCUCUGUCUGCAGGGAAGUACGGUCACUGUGCUAAUCAGCAGUGAAUUGACGGUACCUGCAAAGGAAGCACCGGUUAACUCCGUGCCAGCAGCCGCGGUAAUACGGAGGGUGCGAGCGUUAAUCGGAUUUACUGGGCGUAAAGGGCUCGUAGGCGGUAUGUCAAGUCAAGGGUGAAAGCCCCGGGCUCAACAUGGGAACUGCCUUUGAAACUGGCAAACUGGAGUGUGUGAGAGGAUAGUGGAAUUCGAGGUGUAGGAGUGAAAUGCGUAGAUAUCUGGAGGAACAUCAGUGGCGAAGGCGACUAUCUGGCACAUAACUGACGCUGAGGAGCGAAAGCGUGGGUAGCAAACAGGAUUAGAUACCCGUGUAGUC